AGGAUAGUCGACAGACUUCUGCAUGUUAGUGAUUUGUUUUGGGGUCUAUUCCUACUUCAACCUGACUGGCUUCAUCAAAAACACUCUGCUGCAGUAACUGGCUGACCAGCUGAAUGACUGCAUACCUUGUCGAUGGAAAUAUUCUCAUCACUCACAGGACAUUCCUGUUACAGGUGUAAACACUCCAAUGAACUCUUCCUGCUGCCUUGAUGGAACAUGAAAAGGCCUUUUCAGCUGGAAGAGCAAGUGCAGUGUGGGAUCCCUGAAGUGGCGCAGCACAGGGUCAUUGGAGAGCGACGGUGUGUUUAGGAACAAAACAAUCUGUGUUAUUUCAGCACAGCCUGCUGUAUGAAGAGCCAUUUCACAGGCAUUAUGGAUUACUCUUUGGCACAAUCUGUCCAGGAUCAAACAAACUGGAUAUUUAACCUCAUGUGUCCCUCAGUUGAGAGUUGUCCUCUGAUAAACAAGGAUACAUAUGCAAUUGAAUGUUAACCAAAUUGGGUUAAAAAUCACAUACUGAGUCAUCUGAGGAAAUACAAAUGAAUUGUGUUUAUAAAGUGCUAAUCAUGAAUGAAUCAUUAGUGAUAACUAAUAGAUAGUAUUCAUGUAUUUUUUUUACUGUAUACACUGUACAUGAUGUAGUUGUUACAAUUCUACCCUUUGAUUUGAUGUGUGCUCUUCCACAAACAUUAAGAGAGAAAAAAUUAUUUUCAUUUCAUUUUGGAAUUCACAGGUAAACACACAUCUUCUGCCUCACUUUGCUAUUUUUGGUGUGCUCAGUUUGACAGGUGCAGCAGCUGACUAAAUCUAAAUUUUACAUUACAUAUUGAAAAAAUAUAUUACAUUAAAAGUAUGUUCAUGUGUAGCAGAUGCAAAUGUAAUGUGAUUUAAUGUGUAAUCUGACCCAAAUUAAACUCCUCCAGUGGAAAAAUCUUGACAAAAAUAACCUGAAUUGUAUUUGUUGCAGAAUGUCACAGGUUAGACUUCAACAGGAAUAACCCUGUGUUUUUCAUCCAGCCCCAGAGGUCAGAGUAAUGUUGACAUGUACUGAAACUCUACCUCUGAUAUAAGAAAACCCCAUAACUUAAUUAUAACUAAAACCCUGCUCUGUGGCUGCAGUACAGCACCAUCUGUUGAAACCUUGUAUGUCCUCUGUCUUUACAAAAUGUAUUAUGUAUUCCUUGCACUUUUGAACUGUAUGACAGAAAUGUCUUAGUUUUGAUAAUAGAUCAUUUUGUGCUAUAAUUAUAUUUUAUAGGCCUGCAAUAUUCCAGUUCCAUCAGGUUAAAUUUAAGAGCAUUCCACAUAAAAUGAAAAGUGAAUAUGCUUUUCUUUUCUGAUAUACUUGUAUGCUCUUUUGAUUUGUUUGUGCUCACCUUGUAACGGUGGCAACAGUUAACAAAUGGUCUGUUUUGCUAUAUAAGCACUGCAGAAAAGCAGGUAUGCUGUCUUUUAUUAACAAUAUUAAUUUAUUUUACAAGGGCCAUGGAGAAUAAGUUGUCUCUGCAAGUUCCUGUGAAUUCAUGUGACUACAUAAACUGAGUCAAUCAAUUUCAUAAAUCAUGGGUGUUCAAAUCAAAUGGACUGACAGCACUAAUUCUCACUGAGACGUGAAAACCAUCCAGAGUUAAUAAAUCACUCACGGUUACUAAACAUAAUGUUGCAAUCCAAUGACACAGUAAGGCACAGUGACUCACACCAGGUCAAGUGCUCAUAUGUGUUGACAUAAUAUCCAUAUGUUCUGUCCAAGGACUGCUUGUAAAUAAAGGGUAAAGAAAAUAGUCUGAAGGCAGAUGAGAAGAGAGACUUCCUGUGUUUCUCAUUACAUUGUUACUUGUAAAUUGAAGGGAUGGUAUGAAGGCAGCACAUUACCUGUACCUCCAUCUUUUACAACACCCACAUUAAGCGACUGAACACUGACUAAAGGACUUUUAACGCAUAUUUUAAAUUAUCUAUGCGAUUUAUCAACUCACUUACUACAGAGCCAAAUAGAAAGUAAUUGCAAAAUGAAUAGCCACUAUUCUGUGAUCUUAGAACAAAAGAGAGAUCACACUUUUCCUUUAACAGAACCUCGGCUAUGCUCAUAGAUCACUAAUAAUUUUAAUGACUGAAUCUGGUUUCUAAAGGAGUCAGGGAAUAUGAUUAAUCUAACAAUAUUUUUGAAGAAAUUGCCCCUUUAACAAUACAUGUAUUGUUUGAUCAGUUAAGUCAAUAAUACAAUUCAUUUCCUGAACUCUGAUUUUCUCCUAUUUAAACUGGGAAAACAGUAAUGAGUCAUUUUUUUAUAUAUAUAUUUCCUUAAUGCGAGAGGGUUAAUUUACCUCACAAGCACAUCCAAAUACUUUAUUAAUAGUUUUCAGGACUCACUGACAAUCACUGACCCACAAACUAAUGAAAAAUAUACUGAAUGACUGUGUUUUAUUGCAUAUAGGUCUAAUCAAAAAUGGUUAUGAACACAACAACCAUCUCUUGAGAUAUUUGACAGUAGACAUUUGUCCUCUUUCGGUUUCUUCCUUUAGGGGUCGCCACGGCGAAAACAUCUGCCACCCGAAAUGAACAGACACCCAAAUUCUUAAAAAAAAAGACUGUGUGUAAUCAAGUUUAAUAAAAACUACUACUAUU